UUCCGAAUUUCCCAGAGGAAUCUACCCGAGGGAUUAAUAAAGUUUCUAUCUAUCUAUCUAUCUAUCUAUCUAUCUAUCUAUCUAUCUAUCUAUCUAUCUAUCUAUCUAUCUAUCUAUCCAUCUAUCUAUCUAUCUAUCUAUCUAUCUAUCUAUCUAUCUAUCUAUCUAUCUAUCUAUCUAUCUAUCUAUCAUCCUAACGAGCUAAUUAAUAUCUGGGACCUUGGUAAACAUUAUGUGACACUUCAAGUAUCUUGGGGCACUCAAACUAGCUUUAAGCUCUUUUAAUUUUUUGGUAUUUUGUCAAUUCUUCUUCUGCUCACUAUUCACAGUAACAGAUAUUUUAAGCAAGGGUGCCCAAACUUUUGCAUGUUUUUUACUUGCUUGCUUACAUCUUGCAACAUUGUCAUCCUGCCCUGGCAUGCAGUAAGACUGGUAAUGCUUAAUAUCAUCCUCGAGGUCUCAAAGUGGGAUGUCUUUGUCAUUAUGUCCACUAACACUCCCAAAAUCUGUUCCAUUAGGGAACAUAACCCCUCCCUCUGCCGGUUUUAACUCCACUGGCUUUGGGUUUGCAGGAACUGAAGGAGACAAGAGCCCACAAGGCAAUACCAAGUCCCUGUGUAACACCCUUUCUGGACCAUCAGUGGUACAUGGAACUACUACAUAAGCUGAAAGAUCUUUUACCUGUUUUACCACCCGGUGAAUUGUCAGACUCCAUUUAUUAGCCAAUUUAUGGCUGCCACGGACUUCUCACUAAAAUACGAUCUCCAGCCUCAGUCUUGGAUUCCCUUACUUUUUUUUGUCAAAAUAGUGUUUAUUUUGAAGAGCACUUCUUGAACUAUGUCCGGCAGCUUUGUUGUAGCUUUGAAAGGCUUUCCUUGCGAUUCCUCACAUACUGCACGUGCGCCUGCUUCUUUCUCUCCCCAAAAUUGAGACCAAAAGCAACGUCAACUGGAAGGUUUGGCUGCUUUCCAAACAUAGGUUGAUAUGGAGAAAACAAAGUUCCGCCUGUCGAUUUCCCAUUCCGUCGUUCCCUCACUCAUGAACAAGACCAAGACCAGAUACUUAAACUCCUCCACUUGGGGGAGGACCCCCUCCCCAACGCAGAGAAAGCAUUCUACCCUUUUCCGGCUGAGGACCAUGGUCUCGAAUUUGGAGGUGCUGAUUCUCAUAUCAGCUGCUUCACACUUGGCUGCAAACUGCUCUAGUGAGAGCCGAAGGUCACAAUCCGAUGAGGCCAACAGAACCACAUCAUCUGCAAAAAACAGAGACCUAAUCCUGAGGUCACCGAACCGGACACCCUCAACGCCCUGGCUGCGCCUAGAAAUUCUGUCCAUAAAAGCUUUGAACAGUAUUGGUGACAAAGGGCAGCCCUGAUGGAGUCCAACCCUCACUGGAAACGAGUCCAAGUCCGAGUCCGCCACCCAUGCGGUCCAAGCUCUGACACCAGUCAUAUAGGGACCGAGCAGCCCUUAUAAGGAAGCCCGGCACCCCAUACUCCUAGAGCACUCGCCACAGGACUCUCAGAGGGACACGGUCGAAUGCCUUCUCCAAGUCCAUAAAACACAUGUAGACUGGUUGGGCAAACUCCCAUGAACCCUCCAAGACCCUGCUGAGAGUAUAGAGCUGGUCCACUGUUCCACGGCCAGGGCGAAAACCACACUGCUCCUCCUGAAUCCGAGGUUCGACAAUCUGACGGACCCUCCUCUCCAGACCCCCCGAAUAGACCUUACCAGGGAGGUUGAGAAGUGUGAUCCCCCUAUAGUUUGAGCACACCUUCACGUCCCCCUUCUUAAAGAGGGGGACCACCACCCCGGUCUGCCAGUCCAGAGGCACUGCCCCAGAUGUCCACGCAAUCCUGCAGAUGCGUGUCAACCAGGACAGUCCCACAGCAUACAGAGCCUUAAGGAACUCCGGGCGGAUCUCAUCCACCCCUGGGGCCCGGCCACCGAGGAGCUUUUUAACCACCUCAGCGAUCUCCGCCCCAGAGAUAGGGGAGUCCACCCCCAAGUCCCCAGACUCUGCCUCCUCACUGGAAGGCGUGUCGGUGGGAUUGAGGAGGUCUUCGAAGUAUUCCCUCCACCAACCCAAAACUUCAUGGUGAGUUGAGGUCACCAGUGCCCCAUCCCCACCAUAAACAGUGAAAAUCUCCUCGAAGCCAUCCGGAAGUCGUUUUCCAUGGCCUUGCCAAACUCCUCCCACACCUUUUUGCCUCAGCGACCACCAAUGGAGCAUUCCGCUUACCUGUACCGAUACCUAUCAGCUGCCUCUGGAGUCCCACAGACCAAAAAGGCCCAAUAGGACUCCUCCUUCAGCUUGACGGCAUCCCUUACCACCGCUGUCCACCAGCGGGUUCGGGGAUUGCCACCACGACAGGCACCGACCACCUUACGGCCGCAGCUCCGGUCUGCCACCUCCACAAUGGAGGCACGGAACAUGGCCCAUUCGGACUCAAUGUCCCCCACCUCCCCUGGGACAUGGGAGAAGCUCUGCCCUCACUAUAUGCUUGGAACUGCCAGGCCUGCCCGGCUUCCUCCCCCACCAGCGGAGCCAACCGACCACCAGACACCAUAGACCAUUUUGUAGAAGUGUUUUGGUCAUUAUAUACAUUUUAUUAUGUUCAUUUCUAUAUUACAUAUGAAAUGAAUAUGACGUCUUUUGAUGCAUGACCCAAAAUCCAUGGAACAACGGACUUAAAUGCUCUAAUGUGAACACUAGGUAGAAGCCAACAGAAAUAAAAUACUGUGAGCAAAUGGAAAUUCACUUAAGCAUGAUAGAAAAUGACAUCUGAAAAUGACUUAAUUCUAUUUAUUUGUAACAAUUAAAAGGUAUUUGCAUUGGUUUUUCAUUGUUUG